rnacentral:lncRNA from 1 species
CUAAAAACCCUGACGUUGUUCGGUUUCCCUAGACGACACUGGUGUGAAUGAAGGGGGAUGCCAUGGCUGAUGUUUGGCGUUCUUGUGUAGGGUGGGGAAAGGUAUUUCCAGCAACCUGGUUCACCUCUGAGGCCACCUCUCUGAGGAACGCCACCAUCUGCUACCACUCUUUCAAACUGAAACCUCAGCUGACCUCGGCUCUGGGGAGAUGCCCAGGCACAGCCCACUCGAACAUGACAAAGCGAAAAACAGACAUUCACUCCCAGCCUGGUGGUUUCACCUCCAGAUCUCAGACAUAAGAUUAACUCAGCCCACCACUCCUCCCUCACCCCCAACCAAGAGAGAGCCUGCAGGAGGCCAGCGGAUUCAUUCCAUUGUUUAAAGGACUGAGUGGAAUCAUCCACUUGGGGAUUCCAUCCAUCAAGUCCAAUGUUUGGGUUUGUUUUGUUUGGUAGAUGAAAAAGCCCAAUUUGGCUGUCUCCCAGUCCAUUCUACAUACCACCGUGUGAAAGCCAAGACCAAGGGUCCUCCCGAGAAACAACAGAAGAUGGAUAAUUCUCUGAGCCAAGAAGCCAGCAGUGCUUCAUCCUUCCCGCCAAAGCCUGCUCAAAUUCCCACAUGUUUGCUUUUCCAUAGUCUCUAGAAGUGGAGGGCAAAGGAGCAACCACAGCAGCCAAGUUCAUUCAUUCAUUCAUUCAUUCAUUCCAGCAAACAAUUACUGAGUACUUACCAUGUGCCAAACGCUGUUCUAAGCCCUGUGGCUACAGCCAUGGUCAAGACAUUGAUGUGGAGGUACAAGGUUCAGGACAUCCAUAAAUCAUACCGUAGAGAUUCAAGGUCAACCCUGGAGAGAAAGAUAGAGUCUCAGAACCUUAUGGCAAGGACACUGUCAUCACCGUGUCUUCCCUCCACUCUCCAUCCCACAACCAUCCUCACAAAUGAAUAUGGCUGAUGGUGGAGAACUCACUGCUUCUCCAGUAAGACUGUUCUUCCCAUCAGGCCCUGCUUUGUCCCCAGAACUACACAGAACCUCCACGCUCUUUCUUCCCCACGGUCACUCUUCCAACACUGCAGGCAGUGCCAUGUUUCUGUUGUUCUUCACACUAAAUGUAGGGACAAAGGUGUGGGAGGAUGGCCCAGAGGGAGUCCAAGCUAAAGUGCAGAAGUGCCUGGGCUUCUCUGGAAACUGCUGGCGCGUAUCCCCCAGAGGUCUGUCUGCAUGAGACUGAAGAUCCUGUUAGGAAUGAAUUCAUCCAGGGAGAGGAAGACGGAGGUGACCAGCUUGACCCUUUGCCAAGCCUUGAUCGUUGGAGAGAGGGACAAACCUGAGCUGAGCUCUGAGUCCCAAAACAGAUUUUAAAAAUACGUGUGUGUGUAUAUGUAUGGAAAAGGAGCGAGAGAAAAUGUUGAUUUUUUUUUUUUUCUGGGGGGGG